CCUACGGGAGGCAGCAGUAGGGAAUCUUCCACAAUGGGCGAAAGCCUGAUGGAGCAACGCCGCGUGGGUGAAGAAGGUCUUCGGAUCGUAAAACCCUGUUGUUAGAGAAGAAAGUGCGUGAGAGCAACUGUUCACGCUUCGACGGUAUCUAACCAGACAGCCACGGCUAACUACGUGCCAGCAGCCGCGGUAAUACGUAGGUGGCAAGCGUUAUCCGGAUUUAUUGGGCGUAAAGGGAACGCAGGCGGUCUUUUAAGUCUGAUGUGAAAGCCUUGGGCUUAACCUGAGUAGUGCAUGGGAAACUGGGAGACUUGAGUGCAGAAGAGGAUGGUGGAAGUCCGUGUGUAGCGGUGAAAUGCGUAGAUAUAUGGAAGAACACCAGUGGCGAAAGCGGCCCUCUGGUCUGUAACUGACGCUGAGGUUCGAAAGCGUGGGUAGCAAACAGGAUUAGAUACCCUUGUAGUC
rnacentral:rRNA from 1 species